CCAGGUCUAUAUACAGUAACGUGAGGUCCCUUCUCCUCCUAGAUCAGAAUGUCGCCCUUCAGCACACGCUCGGGACCGAGGACAAAGCCCUCCAGUUGUGGGUCCUCGGAGCCACCCUGGAGGGUCAAGGGAGACACCAGAGCAACUGCCCAGCCCAGCCCGUGCUCUCAUCUCAAGCAAGCCCAGAAGACAGGCUUCACCCAGGAUGCCCUCCUCACGCUGUCAGAGACCUGCAGCCCCGCCGCCCAUCCACAGCUGUUUCUUUGGGAUGACCCUGAAGGCUCAGCAGAGAGAAGGAAGACAUCCUGGAAUCAACUCCUUCCCAGAAGAGGGCUCACUGAGGAAACAGCCACGAUAGCCUCAGACGGACGCCACCCUCCGUGCACAACUUUCCCUUUGAACUUAACGCUGUUUUCCACAUAAACUUCAGAGAACCA